GCCUCCCCCGAGCUCCCCAAGAGCACAGGUGGCCACUGGGUUGGAGCAGAAGAACCUGACUGAGGGCCCAGUUCUCUUUGCAGGACAGGGAGGACCCAGAGGCACAGCCACUGGGUCAUGGGCCCAGUGGGGUAAGGCCAAGAGGUUUGGCGCUGUGCUGCCUGCCAGGGGUUACUGGGAGGGCAUCAGAGAGGCAUGUCUGCAGGCGCCGGUUCCUUGGAAGUCUGUGGGUUUGUUAGAAUGGCUUCCAGCGGCAACUACCAAUAACUCCUAGGGGACCACCUCAAGACUGAAGGUGAGGCAAAGACUGUGGACUAUGAAGCACCUCUUUGUAGCCCAAGUUGCAAGAGGAGCCUAGCAAAGGAAAUCAGAUGGCAGCAACGCAGAAGAAGCACAUGGACGAAUCCUCAGAACCCAUAGUAGAAGAAACAUUUGGGUUGGGUGGAUUACCCUGACUUUCAGAUAUGAUCUUCCCCUUCCAGAGGUUGAACAGGACCUUUCUAAAAAUUUCCCAUCUGCAACUUCAGUUGGCAAAGUGCCUUUGUUUCUUCCAGGGCUGAGUGGCCAUUUUUACACCAGUAAAAUUCAGAAAAAACAGAUGUUUAUACAACUGAUUUCUUUUUCAUUCAAGUGAAAAUUACUUUAUGUAGGUGAAUCCCAGAGUGAAAGAAAUACAUAUUCUUACAACUCAAAUUCACUGCUAAAAAAAAGAAAGCACAGAAGGAAGUCAAUAAAAAAUGAGCAUCAUUAAACACAUAAAAAGAUGCUCAAUCGGCCAGGUGCAGUGGCUCGUGCCUGUAAUCCCAGCACUUUGGGAGCCGAGGCAGGCAGAUCACUUGAGGUCAGGAGUUUGAGACCAGCCUGACCAACAUGGUGAAACCCUGUCUUUACUAAAAAUACAAAACUUAGCCAGGCAUGGUGGUGCAUGCCUGUAAUCCCAUCUACUUGGGAGGCUGAAGCAGGAGAAUCACUUGAACCCGGGAGGCGGAGGUUGCAGUGAGCCAAGAUAGCACCAUUGCACUCCAGCCUGGGCAACAAGAGCAAAACUCCAUCUCAAAAAAAAAAAAAAAAAAAAAAAAAAAUGACACUCAACCUCACUGAUCAUCAGAAACACUAACACAUGAGAAGCCACUGCAUUUCCUUCAAAUUGGCAAAAUUAAAAAAUCUGAUGAUAAUAAUUGUUGGCCAGGAUGUGAUGAGGAAGGAAUUCCAACCCACUGCUUGUUCAGGAGUGUUGAUUGUUAUAAAUACUUUGGAGAGUGAUUUGUUAAUAUCUAGAAAAGAGGAAGAUGCACGUGCCCAUAAUCCAGCAAAUAUAAGCCCAUGGAAACUUUACUGCAUGCUCACAUGUACAAGGAUAUUCAAUGCAUCACUACUUGUCAAAUGAACAUUUGGAAGCAAAGUAAGUGCACCUCAGUAGGAGAAUGGAUACACACAUUGUGCCAGCCAUCACCAUUUGUUAUUUCAUUUAUUCUUUUAUUCAUUUUUCAUUAAAUAUAUUUCCAUGAGUUUGUAUUAUUAUACUAUGUAGAGAAUCACCUGGGAAGAUUGUGAAAAGGGCCGAAUUCCUGGUCCUACCCUCAGAGAGAUUGAGUCUGGGAAUGAGUCCAAGAAAUGGGGCUCUUUUCUAAGUGCAUGUGAUACAACUGCAUGUGGUCCUGGGUCACACCAUAUAUAACCAUUCAUUCUGCCAUUGGAUUUCAAGUUGGAUUACAAAACUUGCAGGGCUAUGUGUGGCCCCUGUACUCAUCCCUUACUGGGAAGGAGGCCUGGAUUGCUGGAACAUGGGAGCCUGAGAAACUUCUGGAUCCUCAAGCAUCAGGCCCAGAGGAAGACAGCAGAAGAGGAGAUAAGGGGGUACAGUGAAGGGGAAAGGAUAGGGAAUGGGUCUGAGGGCAAAGAGGCCUAGAACAGCACAUCUUCUGAUCUUUUGCCCAGACACAAGUCUACCCACAGAUCUUUGUUAACAAAAUUUGUCUUGGAACUAAGAAAGCUACCCUCCUCUCUCCUGUCCCUCAG
rnacentral:lncRNA from 10 species